rnacentral:rRNA from 1 species
GACGAACCGGACAAACGUUAUUCGGAAUCACUGGGCUUAAAGGGUGCGUAGGCGGCGCGGCAAGUUGGGUGUGAAAUCCCUCGGCUCAACCGAGGAAUAGCGCCCAAAACUGCCGUGCUCGAGGGAGACAGAGGUGAGUGGAACUUAGGGUUGAGCGGUGAAAUGCGUUGAUAUCCUAAGGAACUCCGGUGGCGAAAGCGACUCACUGGGUCUCUUCUGACGCUGAGGCACGCAAGCUAGGGGAGCGAACGGG